AUGGCAGCCAGGCUCCUCUUCCCUUUCUUCCUCAUCCUUCUCGUUGGCUCCCACGGGGCGUUUGCCUCCGUGCAGGAGACGUGCGCGAAGGCGAUGGAGGGAUCGGAGCACAAGAACCUUGAGUCCUUCUGCGUGACGACGCUCCAGGCGGCGCCCGCGAGCGCCUCCGCGGACGCGAAAGGGCUGGCCGUGAUCGCCACGAACCUGACGCUGGCCAACUACACGGCGGCGGUGGCCACAAUCAAAGAGCUGCAACGGCGCGGGGGCUGGUCGGACAAGCAGCAGGCCGCGCUGGCCACGUGCCGCCGGCGGUACAUCGAGGCGCUGAACGUGGUGCACAGCGCCGUCCACGCGCUGGCCACCGGGCGGAAGCAGGCGUACGUGGCCGAGAUGGGCGCCGUCAGGAGGUCGGCCACCGACUGCGACGGCGCGUUCGGUGGUGGCGCCGCCGCGGCGAAGCGGGGGGAGGCGCCUCUGCGCAAGGUGAACGACGACGCGGAAAACCUGACCACCAUGGCCAUGCUGAUCGUGAUCACGCUGUAG
rnacentral:rRNA from 1 species